UACGGAGGGUGCAAGCGUUGUCCGGAAUCACUGGGCGUAAAGGGCGCGUAGGCGGCUCAUGAAGGCUGUGGUGAAAGUCCGGGGCUCAACCUCGGAUCGGCCGUGGCGACUCGUGGGCUGGAGCACUGUAGAGGCGGGUGGAACUGCGAGUGUAGAGGUGGAAUGCGUAGAGAUCCGGAAGAACACCGGUGGCGAAGGCGGCCUGCUGGGCAGUAGCUGACGCUGAGGCGCGACAGCGUGGGGAGCAAACAGG
rnacentral:rRNA from 1 species